rnacentral:lncRNA from 1 species
GAGCUCUUGCUCCUGCUCCUUCGCCUGCUUGCUGCGUGAGACUGAGUAACUGCUAGAUCCUUGGACUUCCAUUCACAGCUGUGACUGAACGAUUGUUGGGAAUUGAGCUGCCGACUGUCCACUUCACAUGAUGCUGGAGACCAUCUUCCUAUAAAGAGGAAGCUGGACAGAAAAAGCAUGCGUUGAAGAAGGUCGCCACAAGGUUCAAACGCUGUCAGCGUUCCUGUGAGCCCUAUGAAGCCGGAAACGGUAAUCAGUCCCGCUCCGAGAAGCUGUUCUGAUAAGCCCUGACUACACAGGGUGUCGCGGAUAAAAGAUUGGACACGAGAGGAUGCAAAGAAAAAGCACAUGGAAAGCCCACCCUCCCCGGAUUGGAGCACGUAGGGACCAGAAGAGACCCAGGCCAGGAAGCUCCCGGCAACUGCGAUACUCACUGGCGGAUAACGGUCAAGGCGAAGCGCGGCAUUUUGGCACAAGACGCGUGAGCCACGACCCGGCUCUGCAGCAGCACCUCGCUGCGCCUGACUCUGGGACCACUUUGCCUGCACUACUUCCGUCUGCACGGCGGACCGGCCCCGUAGCUAUUGGUCGAGGCGGCUGAACGUCACCACAGGGUUGCCAAUAAAGGUGGAGCCUGAAACCGGAGAAGCCCCGCCCAGGCCAGUGGCGCUUGCGCUCCUGCGCGCCAACCUGUGAUUGGCGCCUGGCAGGUGCGCGCGGCCCCGCCCUGGGUUAACGCCCUGGAGUCUUGCCAGAGCUAGACCGCCGCCUGCACCAGGGACAGAUAAGGACUGCUUUGAUUGUUUUAUGCUGAACUGAUUUGAGGAAGGCGUGCAAGGUGUAGUGUGCCUGUAGUGUGCCAAGGCGAUGGCUCUCCUCUGGUGGUUACACAGCCAGACUGCAUCCUUUGAGGGUUAGCUGUUAUCCUUUACCUGGGAAGUGAGGUCAAAGUAGGUAUGUAGAUCCAAACCAACCUAGUUUCUCUCUCAACUUCUUAACCAAAGACUUUUGUCAGGCCACUUUCUUGCCUUCUGCUUUGCUGAGCCUGGUCCUCCCAAACAUUAUUACCAAGUAUUUUCGCUAAUGCUGCUAUCAUUUAUAAUUAAGUUACUCUAGAGCUCUCCACUGAUACCUGUUGUAUUAAGAGUUUAAUUCAACCAUUUCUUAAAAUAAUUCCUAUUGUAAUGAACGUUAUCUCUGUUGCACUGAUCUAGAGGAAAGUCGUUUCCUUAAAAACAAAUGCAGGGACAAAGGUUCUGUAUAAAACCCCUCGAGAGGGGUUGGGGAGUUGGCUUAACCCUUUAAGAGCCCAGAUUAUUUGCUCCUCUGGAGAACCAGGUUCAAAGCCCAGUGCACCCACAGAGGCAAUCAAACAUCUGUAACUGCAGUUCCAGGAAGACCAUUUACUUUCUGCUGACCUCUGGGCUCACGUUAUGCACAGACAUUCAGGCAGAGCACCUAGACAC